CUUGACUUUAAUCAGGAUUCAGCCAAUUAUUCUUACAUCAGUCGGACAACUGUUCUUCUUAAAAUUUAAAAGAACGUAAAGAAUAACUGAAGUUUAUAAAAGCUGAAGAAAUUUUCACAAGGAUUAGAACAGAAAACUGAACUCAAAUGGAAGCGCUUGCACUCUCAUGUCACUAUCAUGUCCUGACAAUUUCGGAUUUUAUAAAACUAUAGGAGAUAUUGUGAUUGACGUUGAGAUUGUGAUUGACAUCUGGAGCAGAGCUAUAAUUUUGUUUAACAUUACGUGAAGUUUAUU
rnacentral:lncRNA from 1 species